UACGAGGGGGGCAAGUGUUGUUCGGAAUUACUGGGCGUAAAGGGAGCGUAGUCGGGCUCUUAAGUUGGAUGUUUAAAACCGGGGCCUAACCCCGGCGUGGCAUCCAAAACUGGGAGUCUUGAAUGGGACAGAGGCCAGUGGAAUUAGAGGUGUAGCGGUGGAAUGCGUAGAUAUCUCUAAGAACACCAGUUGCGAAGGCGGCUGGCUGGGUCCACAUUGACGCUGAGGCUCGAAAGCGUGGGGAGCAAACAGG
rnacentral:rRNA from 1 species